UACGAAGGGUGCAAGCGUUACUCGGAAUCACUGGGCGUAAAGCGUGCGUAGGUGGUUUGUUAAGUCUGAUGUGAAAGCCCUGGGCUCAACCUGGGAAUUGCAUUGGAUACUGGCAGGCUAGAGUGCGGUAGAGGGUAGUGGAAUUCCCGGUGUAGCAGUGAAAUGCGUAGAGAUCGGGAGGAACACCAGUGGCGAAGGCGACUACCUGGACCAGCACUGACACUGAGGCACGAAAGCGUGGGGAGCAAACAGG
rnacentral:rRNA from 1 species